GAAACAUGCAUAUAAAGCAAGAAAAUGGAGUGGAAAUCUCAAGUUUUCUGAAGUACAUUCAUAGAUUUCCUCAUUCUUUCACUUCUGGAAGCAUCUGGAAUUCCAAGUGAAAACCUUAUAUGAGGAACAUAUUUUUGGUCGUAGAAUAAUGUUCACAGGAGUUUCAGGCUAUGACCAGAAGUGGCACCAGCUCUGAGGGAUCUUGCUCAGUCUGCCUUUCUAGCAUGAGGAAGCUUGUCAAAAGAACACUUGAAGCACAUACUCUGAAAACCUGACCGAGAAUCACUAGGAAAUUAUCUUCAUACUUUUGUUGUAGAUUGUCAUCUUUGUAAAUUGUGGUAUAUGAGAAUAUUGUUUUACACCUUUUUUAGAACCAUUCUAUGUCAUGAUUUGCAGGUCAUGUUAGUUGUCAUCUUUUAUUUACUGGUUAGGAAUAGGUCUAACUGGGAAAAGAUCCUGACGUUCUUCCUUAGUGCUCUCUAACAGCAGAAGGGUAACCCAGCAGUAUGGGAAUUUGCUGUUCAAAUAUAAGCAUUUCCCAGUCAUGUAAACUAGAUGUUUUUACUUCCAUAAGAUGUUUUUGAACUGGUAAUGUGAUUUUCCAAAUCUAUGUCAUUUGACAGAUGUAUUUUAAACUUUAUUUAAGCUAUUUCCGAAUAUUGUGGUAUUUUGUGGAAAAAUGAUGUAAAAUUUACUGUAAUAACUUGCAAUGUUUCAACCUCCCAUUUUUCUGCUCUUCAGCAUUAGAUGGCAGUGUUUUCCAAGCUUACCUUUCAAUCUUUCAUGAGUGAGUCUGAGAAGAGGAAAGCUAAAAAGGAAACACCAUCAAGUAAUGGAGGUUUUAGGAUAUUUACCAUGAGAUAAUUUAAUUAAAAUGUGGCAGAGCGAAUUGGAAACGUAAUGACCGUUAUCAGUUGGAAGCAUAGAGACUUUUCAAAUUAAUGCUGUUACUGUUUUGGAUUAAUAGAACAGUCCCUUAAUACACAAGACAUAAUCUCUAGUACAGCUUAUUAAAUAUACUCUCUUGUACAGCUUAGUGAUGUGACCUUUGGAUUUAUUUACUUAUGGCUGAUAUAACUGACACUAAAACAGUGAGUAGUUCACCUCCAUGUCAUGGUGUGUUUGUUUCCUGUCCUUGCAGUCCUCAGGCUUCCUGUAGCAGCUCUGCUGCUAGCAAAUGAAGCUCAGCAAACUCACCUGUACCGUCUUAAAAUAUUUUCCUUGAGAAUCACUGCAUCAAUUGAAAUGAAGAAGGUUUGGCAUGCUCUUACUAGUCAGUGCAGCAACAGUAAGAAGAAAAAUUUCUCAAGAGACAGCUGCACACCUCUGAAAGUGCAUACCCAGUGGGCAUCCCUGCUUGUCUUUUGGGAGCCUCCUGACUCCUUUCUGUUUCCUUUUCUGACUGCACAUUGCAAGCAUGUCCAUUAGUCACAGCCGGAAGGGGCAGAUCACUUCCAGGCAGGGAGUGCAGAGGUGCUAGGUGUUGGGGUAAACCUGCAGGCUGCAGUCGGUGCAGGCUGUGAUCAAGGCUGUUGAUGGUUCAUGGAGUCAACAAGGUAUUUCUGAAUAUGGUAACACUGAAAUCUACUUAAAAUGCACAACAAAACCUAAAACUGGGCCGCAAAUAGUGUUUUACCAGUUCAUAGUGUUUCUUCCAGCAGAAGGAAGCUACUAGCACAAGGAAUAUACAUUCUGCUGCCUUCAACCAGGAUUUGCAGCCGUUCAGACUGAUUCUCUUCAGAGCUCCCCAAUAUUAGCUUAUCCUUGUUAGGAUUUGGAUGUAUCUUCAUGUAUUUGCUGUCCUAUUCAUAUCUAAGCAAACAGAAAUUUUGUGGAUUAUUGAAAACAGCAUUGGAGAUGAUAAUGUCUGUGCAGCUAAGUAUCAAUGAGUCAUUUGAGAGUAAAUGCAAAUUCAAGAACUGUUGUUUUAAGAAUCAACUAUAUAAAUUCAACAUUUCUCAUCUGAAAAAAAAAAGGAUUUAUUUCAUUUUAUCAAAAA